AUAGCUCAAAUGUGUUGUUUGGUGCCUAUUCAACAGAAUAAAUUUCACAGAACCACAGAUUUUGAGGCAGUCUUCUCACCGAGCCCCCACUUUUGCUAAUUUGUCCGCAUAACCACAGGUUUUGUAUCUAAUUGUCCCACAUCACCUAAAAUGAAGGCUUUCGCAAUUUUCAAAGCUUUUCUUACAAGUGGGUCUUGCUUGUCAGAUGCCACAUCUCUUUCAUUGAGCCCCUUGCUUUUUUUUGUUUUUGUUUUGCCUCAUCCUCUCUCUUCUUCUUCUUCUUCUUCUUCUUCUUCUACGAAUGGAGGCAGCUCCUUGACACGACCUUCUCUGUCCGGGACGACGAGCGGGCGGCUGGGACCACGCAACAUAUAUAAUGACAAGCAUAUAUACAUUACAAUGUCUUGAAACGAAACUAUAGCAGGAUACACAAACACAGAGACUAGUACUUAAGAUACACUUGAUUGAAAUUAUAGAGAGGCAUAAGCAUAACUAAUUGUUGAUCGCGUGAGCGUGAGCCUUCAUUUUGGGUGAUGUGAGACAAGUAGACACAAAACAUGUGGUUCUGCGGACAAAUUAGCAAAAGUGGGGGCUCGGUGAGAAGAUUACCUCAAAACCUGUGGUUCCGUGAAAUUUACUCUAUUCAACGAGAUAUCUGGCACAAAUUAUCACACUUCAUCAUCAAUGAGGUAAACAUUAAACAAAUUCACUUCUAAUAUAAUUUGCUAUGAAUAUCGAAUGACCCACUCUAUUUACACCCCCUAGUAACACAAGAUGACCCAACCCUCUAUAGUAAAUCCACACAUGGAAGACUCGUAUAUAUCUAAGUUUAUGAAGAUAUUAUAUCCACAAUGCGUACUUGUCUAUGUCAGUUUUUAUACAAGAUUGACACAAUAUUGGCAUAGAACAAUCGAACGAGUGCAUUGCAUUUUUCUUGGGCAUUUUGAUUUGAUUAAUCAUGGAAAACUAUUUCUCCUAAAAAUAUGAAUAAGAAUGUUUCAUGUCAUGUAACAUAUACAUGGCACAAUAAGAGACCAAAUUUGGUGGAAGGUUAGACAUCUCUAUAUAUAUUGUUGGACGAUGGAUUGGGAUGAACAAGGAUUAUUUCUCGUUGAUAAUUCCGGCACCAAGUACACCAUAACUAUUAGAGGAAUCUUUGACGCCCUAAAAUAGACAGAUAAAUUCUUAAAUAUUGGCAAAUACAAGUUAGAGGUAAACCCAUCCGAUUGCGGCAGGGAGGGCAUGCUCCCUAUUCCAAACAUGAAAACUUGUUUCCUUUUUGCAUUUUAUUUUUUUUAUUUUUUGUACCACGUGCGUAUAUUAUUUUUGCGCUAUAUUAUGUUUGCAGAACCAAUCGCCUUAGUUUUUACUUUCUAUUAACUAUAUGUAUCCUCUGUUUUCAACUAUAGUCGUCCUUGGAAUUGGAAUUACUUUUCAAUUAAUUGUCUACCGGAAGAACUAAGAGUCUCUAAAGUGCAGUAUAUAUGUUCACUCUCUAACCCUCAUGAAAUGCCAUGAAACGCCAUGAAACAGGAUAGGGGUUGCCACAUGUUAUUUAAUAAGAUUGUGUAGGUAAACAUUAUUGUGAAGUUCUCUAGAAUAACUGAUUUUUGUCUGUAUGAAUGAGCCACAAGUAUGUAUGAGAUGGAUGGACCAUUUUGAUAAUAACCAAAGGACACAACCACUAGAUAGAUCAUUCAAUGAAUGACUCCAAGUACUAGCAGUUGACCCACCUUAUCCUAAACUAAACAAUGGCAUGGUCAUGAGUCAUAGAGAAUUAUUAGCUCUAAGUGUUGGUUUAUUAGAAAAGUUGUAGACAUGUAAGAUGAGGUUGUCAGCUUUGGAUAAAAACUAUUUAGAUAGAAAGAGUUAUUCACAAUUAGCUCUGGAUGUAUUUAGUCUACCAGAGGUGCAGGGGGCACCGCACCCCCCCCCCCACCCCAACCAU
rnacentral:lncRNA from 1 species